UUAACACAUGCAAGUCGAGCGGUAAGGCCCUUCGGGGUACACGAGCGGCGAACGGGUGAGUAACACGUGGGUGAUCUGCCUCGUACUUCGGGAUAAGCUUGGGAAACUGGGUCUAAUACCGGAUAUGACCUUCCAGUGCAUGCUGGUGGGUGGAAAGAUUUAUCGGUGCGAGAUGGGCCCGCGGCCUAUCAGCUUGUUGGUGGGGUAAUGGCCCACCAAGGCGACGACGGGUAGCCGACCUGAGAGGGUGACCGGCCACACUGGGACUGAGACACGGCCCAGACUCCUACGGGAGGCAGCAGUGGGGAAUAUUGCACAAUGGGCGGAAGCCUGAUGCAGCGACGCCGCGUGAGGGAUGACGGCCUUCGGGUUGUAAACCUCUUUCGACAGGGACGAAGCGUGAGUGACGGUACCUGUAGAAGAAGCACCGGCCAACUACGUGCCAGCAGCCGCGGUAAUACGUAGGGUGCGAGCGUUGUCCGGAAUUACUGGGCGUAAAGAGCUUGUAGGCGGUUUGUCGCGUCGUCUGUGAAAACUCACAGCUCAACUGUGAACUUGCAGGCGAUACGGGCAGACUUGAGUACUUCAGGGGAGACUGGAAUUCCUGGUGUAACGGUGAAAUGCGCAGAUAUCAGGAGGAACACCGGUGGCGAAAGC
rnacentral:rRNA from 1 species